AUUGAACGCUGGCGGCAGGCCUAACACAUGCAAGUCGAACGAGUGGCGGUCGGAUUAGUAAUGUCUGGGCACCUGCCUGAUGGAUGGGGAUAACUACUGGUAACGGUAGCUAAUACCGCAUCCCACCAGCUGUGUCCAUAUGGGAGUGGCUUGUUGGUGGGGUACCGGCUCACCAAGGCGACGAUCCCUAGCUGUUCUGAGAGGAUGACCAGCCACACGGGAACGGUGACACGGACCAGACUCCAACGGGAGGCGGCGGUGGGGAAUAUUGCACAAUGGGCGAAAGCCUGAUGCAGCCAUGCCGCGUGUAAGAGGAAGGCCUUCGGGUUUUAAAAUACUUUCAGCAGGGAGGCGUUACCCUCAGAAGAAGCACCGGCUAACUCCGUGCCAGCAGCCGCGGUAAUUC
rnacentral:rRNA from 1 species